rnacentral:lncRNA from 1 species
UUUGCCUCAUAUAUUUUGUAGCUGUGUUAUUAGGUAUAUGAAUAUUCAGUUUCCCUCCAAGUAUUGACUCCUUUGUCAUCAUUUAAUAUAUCUCUAUUCUCCGGGUACCAUUGUUUUCUCUGCUGCUAUUAAUACAGCUACUUCAGUUUUCUUUAGGUUUUUAUUUACAUGGUAUAUCUUUUUUCUGUUUUUGUUUUUUAACGUAUUAUUUAUAACUGAGGUUGAUUUACCAUGGAUAGUAUGUACUUGUUAUUGCUUUUUUUAAUCCACUGUAAAAUCUAACAUUUAAUUGGUGUUUUUAGGCAAUUUAAUAUAAUAAUCGAUAUAUUUGGGUUAAAGACUACUAUCCACCUAGCUUUUUAAAUUCAUUAGCAGUUAUUCUUUCAUGGGAACUUCCAUAUGCUGCAGGUAUGGCCCUAAAAAGAAAAAAAAAAAAGACAAAAUAAUUUUUAUAUUUAACUACAUUUAUUGUGUUUCCAGGGUGCUUUAUUUCUUUGCACAGAGCUCAGUUUUAUUCAAGUUCCACCUGGAGAACUUCUUUUACAUGUCUUUUAGUGUUGAUUUUCUUGCCAUUACUUCUAUAAACAUCUUUGCUUAUGAAAGAUGUUUUCACAUGGUAAUUCAGAUAUAGAAUUCUAAUCUGACAGGGUUUUUUUUCAUUUUAUCCCUUAAAAAAAAAAAGCCACUCCAUUUCCUUCUAUUUUGAGUAGUUUCUCAUUGUAAUCCUGUAAUUCUUGUGCAUUUUUUCCCUUCAGUAUAUAUCUUUUAUCUCUGGUCAUUUUGAAGAUUUUCUUUGUCUUUGGUUACUAACAGCUUGAAUAUGCCUAGGUGGUUUUGUUUGUUUGCCUGCUUCCUUACUUUUUAGUUUAUUGUUGCAUUUAUCUUGCUUGUGCUUUCUCACCUGGACUUUUCGGAUCUGUCAUUUUUCGUAGGUCAUUAAUUUCAGAAACUUUUCAGCCAGAAAAUUCUGAGUAUUUCUUUAAACAUUUCCUACGUUCUGUUCUCUUUUUUCAUUUUGUUUCAGUUUGAGUAAUUUAUACUGACUCAUCUUCAAGUUCACUGUUCCUUUCCUUAGCUAUAUUGAAUCUACUGAUGAACCAAUUGAAGCUAUUCUUUGUGACUUUUGCUUUUUAUAUUUAGCAGUUCUAGUUUUUGUAUUCUCUGCUGAAUUACUGGCCUGAUCUGACAUGUUGUUCACCUUUCCUCUAGAGGUUUCACUAUAUUGAUAAGAUUCAUUUUAAAUUCUAUAUUAGUUAUCUCCAACUUCUAUAACAUAUCUGAAUCUUGUUCUGUUGGUUGCUUUGUCUCUUGACAGUGGGUUGUUUUUAUUUGUUUUGUAUGCUUCAUAAUUUUUUAUUGCGGUAUGGAGCUGGCCAUCUUGUGUAGAACAGUAGAGUCUGAGAUAAAGAAUGUUUGGGGCUGGAAAUAGACAAAUCUCCCUUUCUGCUAGGUUUAGUGUGGUAUGAGUGUGUCUUUGUGUAGUGGGAGUGGUUAAGUAUUUAUUGCUAUGAGUUUAACUGGAUUUUGAAGCUGUUGUUGCAAUCAUUCUCAGUAUAAGGUGGGCUUCAGAUCAUCUAGGAUUACUUUCUAUUUUGCAUGUGGGCUUUUCUUCAAUGUCUGCUCCACCUUCACUUUUAAGUCUUCCCUCUGUGCUGUGUCUCAAAAAUGACCUUUCUUCAUGUUCUUGCCCCUCUUCAAGCAGUAGACCACUGUUACUUGUUAUUCAGUGCUUGUUAGUCUAGGGUCAGGGGUGACUUUUUCUGUCAUUUUGUUUAAGUCUCAAUCUUUAGGCACAGUGUUCCUGAGUCUUGAGGGUGGGUCUUUCUCAAUGAAUCUACCCUACUCUCAGCUGUAGGUUGAGGUUAGCAAGUAUUUCUACCCCUCUUUCUACUGUUAAAAAGUCUUGUUUUAUUCCCUCCCCUCAGGAUCACUGGGUUUUUAUCUGUGCUCUAAGGGCAUCAGGUUUUGUUUCCCUUUUAUUUCAUACAAGAUACAGGAAAGAAUGAUUUGUGCUUUCCCUUCCAGUGCCAUUGCUGCUCCAGACCUGCAUCACAAAGAACAUGUUUUUAGGAUUCUUGUUGGUCUUUUUUUUUUUUUUUUUUUUUUGUAGGCAUCUGAUUUUUUUGCAGAAAAGCCUGUAAUGACUGCAGGUUCUCCUUUGUUUGUGUCCAAGGGUUCAAUCCUUCUGACAGCCCAAAGUUGGCCUUUAGCAGUUCAUUAAAACAUUAAGUUGAAUUCUUAACUGUGACAGCAUCUAUCCCAGGUAAGCAAGUGCUCAUGCCUUAACUCUUCUUGGAUGUACUGUUCUUAAAUUUCAGGAUACUUAGUAAUCAUCUGUUCUCUUCUGGGUUCAAGAAUAGUUAUUAGGAUUUCCCAUUCUGGUGCAGCAGAAAUGAAUCCACCUCAGAACCAUGAGGUUGCAGGUUUGAUCCCUGGCCUUGCUAAGUGGGUUAAGGAUCUGGUGUUGCUGUGAGCUGUUCUGUAGAAAACAGACGUGGCUCAGAUCUGGUGUUGCAGUGGCUGUGGCAUAGGCCAGCAGUUGUAGCUCUGAUUAGACCCCUAGUCUGGGAACCACCAUAUGCUGGGGGUGCAGCCCUAAAAAGCAAAAAAAAAAAAAAAAUGGUUAUGAGUAUUCAGAUUAUUUAGCAUUUAUGCCACUGCUGUCGCUGUUAUUGUUUCAAGUGCAGGAGCAAUGCUCUUUUUAGCAUUCUACAUCCUGAGAGGAAACUGAAAGCCCUGGAAUACACAGUAUUUAGCUGGGCAUGGACCAGUUGGAAUCAAGACUCCAUUUCCUGGCCUCUCUUAUGACUGGAUCUGGCUAAUUAUAUGUACAUAUGUACAACUUUCAGUUUAUAUUCUUAAAAUGGGAGAGAGCAUACUCUUCUCCUUCCUGUUACUUGUUCUGCUGAUUGAAAUGCAGUUCAUGUUGCACAAUGAAGUGAUUUUAGGAAGAAAGGCCACCUCUAGUAGUAUAGCAAUAUAGAAGAAGCCUUACGCAAGCACUGAGUUACCUACACAAAUAUUUACCUG